UGACGUCGAUGAAACGCCGUAGUAUAAAUCUGAAUUGAUGUUUCAUAUCAAAGCGGGUGGAUACCGUGCGAAUGGGAGGCGACUGUUCGCACCGAGGAGAAUUCCCCGUUGAAAGGGGAGACGACAGGGCCUUUCUUUCUCGAUUACCGCCACGACGAUAUUCUGCCCGGUGAGGAAAACGUCGUGAACGUGUAUUUCAAACCAACCGAAGCUAAACACACGGAGGGGCAGCUAAGGAUAAGGAUCAAGGGGGCAUGCACCGUACCCAUCGACGUGUCGAUAUCUGGUACUGGGAUUGGUCCCGACGUGA
rnacentral:misc_RNA from 1 species